GACGAACGCUGGCGGCGUGCUUAACACAUGCAAGUCGAACGGAAAGGCCUCUUUCGGGGGGUACUCGAGUGGCGAACGGGUGAGUAACACGUGAGUAACCUGCCCUUGACUUUGGGAUAACUUCAGGAAACUGGGGCUAAUACCGGAUAGGAGCUCCUGCUGCAUGGUGGGGGUUGGAAAGUUUCGGCGGUUGGGGAUGGACUCGCGGCUUAUCAGCUUGUUGGUGGGGUAGUGGCUUACCAAGGCUUUGACGGGUAGCCGGCCUGGGAGGGUGACCGGCCACAUUGGGACUGAGAAACGGCCCAGACUCCUACGGGGGGCAGCAGUGGGGAAUAUUGCACAAUGGGUGGAAGCCUGAUGCAGCAACGCCGUGUGCGGGAUGACGGCCUUCGGGUUGUAAACCGCUUUCGCUCAUGACGAAGCUUUGUGUGACGGUAGUGGGUAAAGAAGCACCGGCUAACUACGUG
rnacentral:rRNA from 1 species